rnacentral:rRNA from 1 species
GACGAACGCUGGCGGCGUGCUUAACACAUGCCAGUCGAACGGAAAGGCUCCAGCUUGCUGGAGUACUCGAGUGGCGAACGGGUUAGUAACACGUGGGUAAUCUGCCCUGCACUCUGGGAUAAGCCUGGGAAACUGGGUCUAAUACUGGAUAUGACCUUUCUCCUUAUGGGGUUUGGUGGAAAGUUUUUCGGUGUAGGAUGAGCCCGCGGCCUAUCAGCUUGUUGGUGGGGUGAUGGCCUACCAAGGCGACGACGGGUAGCCGGCCUGAGGGGGUGAUCGGCCACAUUGGGACUGAGAUACGGCCCAGACUCCUACGGGAGGCAGCAGUGGGGAAUAUUGCACAAUGGGCGGAAGCCUGAUGCAGCGACGCCGCGUGAGGGAUGACGGCCUUCGGGUUGUAAACCUCUUUCAGCAGGGACGAAGCGUAAGUGACGGUACCUGCAGAAGAAGCACCGGCGAACUAUGU